CUCAGUACAGCUGGACUCUGGAUGGACACUCAGUGAAAGACGCUGAGCUCCUCCCUGGAAAUAAUGAUAAUUAUAAUAUUUCUAUGACUUAAAGUCCAUCUUUCUUGUGUCUUUUAUCUUCCAGCAGGCCAUUUGCCAAUAAUAGCUGGUGUACUCUCAGUCCUGGUCAUUGUCUUGGUUGUGGGCUUAUCAGUCAUCUGGGCUCUGAAGAAAAAGCAAAGAAACAACAAACCUAAAGAGGAAAGAAAUGACCAGGAAUUAACCUACGCUGAUGUCAGAAUCGUGCAGCAGCAGAGGAAGCAGACUGAGCAAAGGCCGAAUGUGGAGGUGGAGUACGAUCAAGUCAAGUUUUCGGCACGACCCCAGCAGACUGAAACAUAAAAUGAAGGGAGGAAGCCCUUCAGUUUCUCCUUUUCUGUUUCAACCGUCCCAGCCGAUUUCACAGAUAACAACUGAACACUUCUUAACAAGUGAGCACUCAUCUGUUUCUCUCGCUUUCUCCGUCUCUGGCCUGAGCCACAAAAGGCCUACCUGCACCCCAAACCUCCCCCCAUCUGACCCCCUGUCUGCACUGAGGAUCUGUGAACAGGCGUCAGUUCUUUCAGAGAGAGAGGACCAGGAAGGCUCCAUGAACUGACAGAGUGUCUCUGUCCUGCCUGAAAGUCUGUGUCGUCUCAAACACCCCACCAUCAUUUUGCUCCCCAGUAAGUCACAGGAGUUAAUGACUACAGACCUGGUGCCCUGACGUCUGUGGUCAUGAAAUCCUUGGAGCGACUGGUGUUGGCGACUUGGUGUGACUGCUAGACCCCCUGCAGUUUGCCUAUAGGACAAGAGUGGGAAGCAUCACAUCCAUCAUCUAGACUCUCAGCACUGAGAAUUUAAAUAGAUCCUCAGACAGGAACAGAGAAAACGAAAGCACGUCUGGUUUAGACCUCUGUGUAACACCACACAGCAUUUCUCCAGAAGAACUGACAAAGUCCUGUUAGGUAAUUCAUCUAUUUUCUUCCCCGUGUGGUGAACAACCUAACAACAACACUUCAAACCAACAGUUACGCAAACAAAAUACGCCCAAAAAGCAUUCGUCAUAACACUGGGUUUGGCAGCUCGAUGUGGCAGAGAACUGAAGAUAACACACUUCAAAAACAGUUGGCCACUCUGAAGACAAUCAGUACCUCAGCCACAGAUAUUAAACCCGGUUAAUCAAAUGGACAAAUAAACAUGAACACAUGGCGUUACCACAUCCUAGUUAGAUGAUUGAAAAGGGCUUUAUUCAGUCAAUCUAUUUAUCAGGUAGGGAUGAUAUGCCGUCAUAAUAACGAGUGAAAGCAUUAAAUCCUUUUGAAUUGGUUUGGUCAAAGAGAUAAAGUGUUGAGAAUCUUUAAAGGAGCUAAAAUACGAUUUAGCACACGUAGCUGUAUCUGUGGGUUUCUCUCGUAAGGUCUUGGUGUCACUAUAAGAGUCAGGGGAUGAUUCAUGCUCUGUUUUGUCAUUAAGAGUUGGAUCAGGUCAGUAUUAGAGUUAUAGCAUGAUACUGACUGGUCAUUAGUGACUUCUGAAGCUGUGUAAAUCUGUACCACUGUAUUUAAAUGAUGUAAAUGUAAUAAUGUAAAUGUUGCUGUCAGUGGAUUAUUACUGCAGAGUUUGCAAAGUUCCCAGCAUUUAUUGAUUCUUUUGAAUUUUUAUGAAUUCAUUGACAGUAUUAAUUGUCUGUUUCUGUUCUAAGUAUAAAGUGUUGUGUAAGGUUGUACCUUUCAGAUGAAUAACAGGAACAAGUUCACAAUCAGACUGAUGUUGUUGUUUUUUCAAUUAAUUUUCAAGAUUUUAUCUGUUCACACUCCACAAAAACUAUACAGAGGACCUGUUACAGUCACUUUAUUAAAUGCAUUGUGUUGUA